rnacentral:rRNA from 1 species
AGUGAACGCUGGCGGUAGGCCUAACACAUGCAAGUCGAACGGCAGCACAGUAAGAGCUUGCUCUUACGGGUGGCGAGUGGCGGACGGGUGAGGAAUACAUCGGAAUCUACUUUUUCGUGGGGGUUAACGUAGGGAAACUUACGCUAAUACCGCAUACGCCCUACGGGUGUAAGCAGGGGAACUUCGGACCUUGCGCGGUUGAAUGAGCCGAUGUCGGAUUUGCUAGUUGGCGGGGUAAAGGCCCACCAAGGCGACGAUCCGUAGCUGGUCUGAGAGGAUGAUCAGCCACACUAGAGCGUGGACGCGGUCCAGACUCCUGCGGGAGGGAGCAGUGGGGAAUAGUGGACAAUGGGCGCAGGCCUGAUCCAGCCAUACCGCGUGGGUGAAGAAGGCCUUCGGGUUGUAAAGCCCUUUUGUUGGGAAAGAAAAGCAGCAGGUUAAUACCCCGCUGUUCUGACGGUACCCAAAGAAUAAGCACCGGCUAACUUCGUG